rnacentral:rRNA from 1 species
UACAGAGGUGCCGAGCGUUAGGCGGAAUCACUGGGCUUAAAGCGCGUGUAGGCGGGUCGUUAAGUGUCCGCGUGAAAUCCCACGGCUCAACCGUGGAACUGCCGGGCAUACUGGCGACCUUGAGGCACUUAGGGGCGAGCGGAACAAAUGGUGGAGCGGUGAAAUGCGUAGAUAUCAUUUGGAACGCCGACGGUGGAAACAGCUCGCUGGGAGUGUCCUGACGCUGAGACGCGAAAGCCAGGGGAGCGAACGGG